rnacentral:rRNA from 1 species
CGUGCCUGCCCGUGAAUUUUUUUAACGGCCGCAGUACCCUGACUGUGCUAAGGUAGCAUAAUCACUUGUUUUUUAAUUGAAAGCUUGUAUGAAUGGCUUGACGCAGGUAAAGCUGUCUCUUUUAUACUAAAUAAAAAUUAAUCUUUAAGUGCAGAAGCUUAAAUGCCCCCAAAAGACGAAAAGACCCUAUCGAGCUUGAAAAUUAUAAUUAAAUUAAAUUUAUAGUAAAAUAAUUUUUAAUUAAUUUUUUUUGUUGGGGCGACAAAAGAACAAACAAAGCUUCUUUUUAUUUUAUAAAUCUCUAAAUUUAUAGAUCCAUAAUUUAUGACUAAAAGAAAAAGCUACCGUAGGGAUAACAGCGUUAUUUUUUCAAAGAGUUCUUAUCGAAGAAAAAGUUUGCGACCUCGAUGUUGGAUUAAAGUAACUUUUAAGUGCAGAAGCUUAGAAAGUGGGUCUGUUCGACCCUUAAACCUUU